AUCAAAUCGGUUGAUGAUGGUAAUUGAGAGCGUGAAGAGCCCUUUACUGACUGGGCCACAUUCUCCUGUCAGGUGAUGGCAUCAUGUUUGACAUAUGAAGAUGCAAAGUUCAAAGAAAAAAAAAUCCGGAAGCGGCGUCCGACCUAUCAACGAAUAAUGAAGAGCGGGAGAAAAGAAAAAGGAAGAGACUGCUCCUUUUCCGUCAAGCUUGCCUCUUCUGCAGGAACGACCUAGCACUCAGCCAGCCCCUCAACUUCCAGAACGUGCACCAGUGCCCAAGCAAAAACGCACACGUGAGCAGCGUGCCUCUUCCCAGGAGUGACUGAGGGGCUGCCACAAGGGGAG